rnacentral:rRNA from 1 species
AGCAUAUCAAUAAGCGGAGGAAAAGAAACCAACUGGGAUUGCCUUAGUAACGGCGAGUGAAGCGGCAAUAGCUCAAAUUUGAAAGCUGGCGUCUUUGGCGUCCGCGUUGUAAUUUGUAGAGGAUGCUUCGGCGAGGGCUCCGGUCUAAGUUCCCUGGAACGGGACGUCAUAGAGGGUGAGAAUCCCGUAUGUGAUCGGUUGCCUAAGCCAUGUGAAGCUCCUUCGACGAGUCGAGUUGUUUGGGAAUGCAGCUCUAAAUGGGAGGUAAAUUUCUUCUAAAGCUAAAUACCGGCCAGAGACCGAUAGCGCACAAGUAGAGUGAUCGAAAGAUGAAAAGCACUUUGGAAAGAGAGUUAAAAAGUACGUGAAAUUGUUGAAAGGGAAGCGCUUGCAACCAGACUCGUCCGCAGUUGCUCAGCCGGUCUCUUGACCGGCGUACUCUUCUGCGGCCGGGCCAGCAUCAGUUCGGGCGGCCGGAUAAAGGCCUCGGGAAUGUAGCACCCUUCGGGGUGUGUUAUAGCCCGGGGUGGAAUGCGGCCAGCCUGGACUGAGGAUCUCGCUUCGGCUAGGAUGCUGGCGUAAUGGUUGUAAGCGGCCCGUCUUGAAACACGGACCAAGGAGUCUAACAUCUAUGCGAGUGUUUGGGUGUCAAACCCAUGCGCGUAAUGAAAGUGAACGGAGGUGGGAACCCUCACGGGUGCACCAUCGACCGAUCCUGAUGUCUUCGGAUGGAUUUGAGUAUGAGCAUAGCUGUUGGGACCCGAAAGAUGGUGAACUAUGCCUGAAUAGGGUGAAGCCAGAGGAAACUCUGGUGGAGGCUCGCAGCGGUUCUGACGUGCAAAUCGAUCGUCAAAUUUGGGUAUAGGGGCGAAAGACUAAUCG